AAAUCAAAAAUAAACUCUCACCGCCUGGUAAAAACUAUUAUAUUCAAAGCAAGCUGAUCACAGGAAACCAAAGAAAAAUUGACUGUUAAUCCAGAGCUUUGGCCUCCAUUUCCAACCGGAGGAGGCUCUGCAAAAACUGGAGGAGGGAGCUAGGGUUAUCAGAUUCGGCUUCUGAGGCUGCUUGAUCUGCAAUUGAAAAACAAAGACAGUUACUGCUUGGGUUUGGAUUUGCAAAUCCCCCCAAUUUCCCCCAAAAUCCAAGAACCCAACAAGUCGGAAUUCUUUGAGCUGUUUCCUGCAAAUUUCGAAUCUUUUACAUGGAAAUCUGGAAGAAAAGAAGGAAAGAUUAGUUCUUUUUCAUGGUGGGUAGGUGUGACAAACCCCAUUUCAGCUGAAACCCUUCAUUUUUUUUUUUGUUCCCCCAAGAGGACCCCAAAAUCUUUGAUUCAAAGAUAUUUGUGACCCGAAUAACAAACAUGCACGCCCGCCACCGCAAUCCCGGAAAUGGGUACCGGUCUAAUUCCAUGGGUAUGGACCGUAUCGGAAUGGGUCGGAUCUCGCCGGAGGGCUCACUCCGCGGCCAUGGCUAUUACAACAACAACUCCGACCCCCCUCACCGCAACAACAGCAACAGCAACAGCAACAGCAACUUCAAUCGCGGCUACGGCCGGUCGAAAUCGUUCCAGCCGCCGCCACCUCCGCCGCCGCCGCCGCCCGCUCCGCCGCGAAAGGGGGACGUCUUUAUGGACGCGGGGCGGAUGGCGGCGGAGUAUCUGGUGGCGCAGGGGCUGCUGCCGGCGAGCGUGCUGUCGGCAAAGUGGCAGAAGAAGCAGCAGGUAGAGUUUGAGGGUGAUCACAUGAGAGAGGAGGGGAGGACGUCGGCGCUUUCCCGAUUAGGAAAUGUUUCGGAGGGAGGAGGGUACAGAAGAGGAAGGUUUGGGGGUGUGGAUGAGUUCAGUAGUAAUGCGAGGAAUAAGGGGAGGAGGAGGAACCGGGGCGGCGGGUAUGGGUCGGAUACCCGGCCCGAUUGGUAUGGGAGGAGUGGGACGUUUUCGGAUAGGCAUAGUAGGGCUUCUUCUGAGUGUGAGGAUGAUUCUGCUUCUGGGAGGCAUGAGGAGCACAAGGUGGGGAGAGAUGUUGGGAAUGCAAGGGAGAGUGAGGAUGCAGUGGAUUCGGAGACGAAGGAGGAUAUGAGCUCGAAGCCGACUUCUUCUGGUGCAAGUGGGAGUGAUGGAGUUGUUGUUGGAGUAAAUGUGGAGCCCAACAAGGUGAAUGAUGUAGAGAUGAAGGAUAGGGAUUGUGGCAAUGGUGAUGAAACUGAGAAACAGAGUGUUGUGGAGGAGUUGCCGGUUCAGGUUAAGGCCAAGGGAGAGGGGGAUUUGGGUGGUAGGAAUGCCACUGAUUUGUUGAAACUAUGCAAAUUCGCCAAGGUGCCUACUAGAAUUCGCUCGGCAUUGACUACUAGGGGUUUGAAGGUUGAUCCACUUCCAAUUAUCCAAGAGGGAAGCACGUCGUCUGACAUUGGUCUGCAACCGGGAGGAUCAUCUCAAGGUUUAAUCGAAAACCGUUCUCUUGAUGUUGCCUCAGGUACCCCAGUAUUAGAUAACUCUCAUUAUGUUGAUCCUGAAACUUCUAAAGUUGAGCCCAGUCAAUCUGUUGAGAAUUUGGUAGAAUUAGGUUCUGGAUUUGGUAUUGAGCAGAAUAAGUUUGAAAGGUCCCAGUCAUUACCAGAGAGAGCUUUUAAGCGUGAGAAUGAACAAGAAUUGAUUCAAGGGCCAGCAGGGCUUAGGAGUUUUAGCUUUGCAGUUAAGGAAAGAGGUGAGAAGAGGGCUUUAGAAGACCAUGAUAAGCAGGUGGAAGCAAAAAAACCAAGAGAAUGGCUUCCCUACGCAGAGUCAGAUGAUUGUUUCCAAAUUUCCAAUUUGAGCGAAAAGAAAGCAAGUCCAUUGGAGGACAACACUUCUCCUGCUGAGAAAGUGAUUGUAGCUGUUGAUCAUGACAGCUCAAUGGGAAAUGAUUCCCAGUUCCGAAAAGAUGAAGCUGAAAUUUGUGUCGAUUAUAUGCAAGAGAAGCAGCUUUUUCCUAAUUCAUUCGACCUUAAUCUCAUGGAGGUUAGCGAUGCACAUGAGAGUCGUGAUAGUAAUUCUGUAAUAAACUACACAGAUGUCUCUGGAGUGAAGAAAGAAGCAGCGCCGGUUGAUAUUGACUUGUCAAUGAGUAACUGCAAUAUGUCUCGUGAGAGCAGUAGACGCCCUGUGGAUGUCAAAGGGAUAGAAGUAAUUGAUUUAGAAAAUGACUGUAUUCCUGAAGACAAGGCCUUCAAUAAUGCGGAAAGAAAGACAGGGACUGAAUUUAUACCUCUAGAUGGCUUUUCCAACCAAGCACAGAACUCUAGUGAUAUCCCCGAUGGCCAAGAUGGUUAUGGGCUAAUGAUCUCGGAGUUGCUGGGAAAUGAUUUCCCUACUUGUUCUUCAGUACCGGAGGAUCUUACUCCAAUGCCUAACGAUAUUGGUCUUCCUAAUGCAGAGGGGACUCUUGCAGAUGAUGAUUCAAUAUAUAUGGCUCUGGGCGAAAUACCAUUAACCUUCAUGAGUCCCUGGGAGCGGCCACCCCCGCAAGAGUAUGAGAAGCCCUUUUGAUCCAGCUAAUUACAGAACUUCUCAGAUGCAUGAUCCGCAGGUGCCCAUAACUUCUUUUGGAGAAAAUCAACUCUUCUUGUCAUCUUGAUGUGUAGCACAGAGAUGGUGUGCCCAUCCAAUACUCAUGAUGCUUGCAAUUCCUAAUAAUAGGCAACUGUUGAAACUCUCGACCAUAUAGUAUUACAUAACAGACAAUAUUCUUGGCAUCGGUGUUGCAGUCUUCAAUACAAAAGGAACACACCGUUUUCGAGAAUUCAGAAAAUAUCUUGCCUGACUCAUUGGGGGCACUGGAAAAACCAACAUGGUUGUAUUGAAUUUAUAUGAUCGCUUAGUCUGGAAUUAACGAGUUAAGCUUAGUUUAGGUUGGUAUAAAUUGUGUGCAUUCUCUCUCUUGGUUUGGGUUGGCAUCGUGAUGAAUUUGGUUUCAGAGAUAAAAGGGUUAUUACUUUAACAACACUUAUCUUUUGAUAUGAACACAAUACAAGUAAUAAACGGAUCGAGUUAGUGUUAAA